GGGUGCUUAGCGCAAUGGUAGCGUGUUUGGCUUCGAUGCUUUCCUUACGUAAUUCCCACCAAAAGGUUGCAGGUUCGAGUCCUGCAGUGCUCA